AUAAUAUUAAAAGAUAAUAAUUUUAACAUGAUCGCAAUUACCAUAUAAACUCAAUCCUUUUUUAUUCUACUACUAUUAAACCUCUUUAAAUAUCUAACUUUACCUUACUUAGUCAUACUCAAAAAGAUAAAACUAUCUAAACCCUAAAAACUUAAAAAAUGGAUAGAACCCCUAGCAUUUUUAAAUUGACUGUAAGUUUAAUUUUGGAGGAAAUUAACAUUGAAUGGCACUACUAUUCAAUUAAAUCAAUAUCAUAUUACAAAAUAUUUAACAUGAAGCUAUGCCAAU
rnacentral:lncRNA from 1 species